rnacentral:rRNA from 1 species
UACGUAGGUGGCGAGCGUUGUCCGGAUUUACUGGGCGUAAAGGGAGCGUAGGCGGACUUUUAAGUGAGAUGUGAAAUACUCGGGCUCAACUUGAGUGCUGCAUUUCAAACUGGAAGUCUAGAGUGCAGGAGAGGAGAAUGGCAUUCCUAGUGUAGCGGUGAAAUGCGUAGAGAUUAGGAAGAACACCAGUGGCGAAGGCGAUUCUCUGGGCUGUAACUGACGCUGAGGCUCGAAAGCGUGGGGAGCAAACAGG